CGAGGGGGAAGCAGGCAUCAUGCGCAUGAUGCUCGUUGUGCCAUCGGCUGUGGGAUCGUGACGUCAUACCUAAUAGAAUCAAUCGCAUCAUCUGGACUUAAGGUUUAUGUCUGUCCAUCCUGUUUGAGAGAUGGGAAAGCCAGAGUCCGAGUGAUUCCAUCAAGUCUGUCCCGGCUGAACACCACUGCCUUAAUUGCCAGCAUAUCAGAAGGUUGUGCUAUCCAGUGGAGAACAGUUGCCACUAGCUCUGAUGGCAUUUCUUGCUACCAUUCUUUUGAAAGCUGAUUUAAAUUGCCUUGCUGUGGGAUUGUUGUUAAAUCCAUUUCAGAUAUUUGUAUUCUAUUGUUCAGUUUAAUAGUCCAUUUUUGUGUGUUCUUGGAAGCUUCUGUUAUUGAACAAAUAUAUAUGUAUGAUUUCCUUAAGUGUGCAUAUGUCAAACUUAUUUCUGAUUAUGAUUUAAUAGAUCAGGGGAUUGUAGAAAUAAUUAAAUGCUCACAAGCUGGUAUGCACAUAUUCCAGAAAUGAAUGCAAAUGCAUGGGUAAUUCCAUUAAGUAAAGGUAAAUUCAUGUACAGGUGCUGG